AGGGUAAAGGUGGUGUAUAUAAGAACUGCUGUGAGGUAUACGGAGGGUGAGGGUCACACAUUGUACGUCUUUCUGUCUUGUUGCUGUAGUGAGGAUCGGGGUGAGGAUCAGUUAUGAGGUCUCUGCUGAUUUUGGGGGGUCUCGUCUGUGUGCUGCUGGUGACCCCAUCUGAUGGUGAUUAGAAGGCAAAGCCUGGAAAGAAGCAGCAGGAUGGAGGAGGAGAGCGCUGUCCGGGAUCCGGUCCAUUUGUCGGGCCUCCAUCCAAUCACAUCACCGACGAUGAUCAGAAGAAGUCGAUGGAUUCCGGAGAUCUGACAACUCCAACAAGACCCAGCAAGAGGACCAUAAAGAAGACCACCGCACAACUCCUGUGCUGCCGAUGGCCGAGAAGGGAGCCUUGCAGGGUAAGAGAAUGGAGGUGACACUUUGGGGUCUAUUUAUAAAAGAAUCUCCAUAACUAUUCAUCCAGCACUACUCCAUGUACAUUCCUUCUGUACGAGGGAUCCAGCGGGGGUGAGGAUCGGGAAACAUCGAAUGUUCUUCAGGAGUUUUCUCUUUGGGACGAAUGUUCUUAUGAAUAUAAAUGAUAUAAAUCAGCGGGCGCCGCCCCUCACCUGAGGAUGGAAUGAGGACUAAUAGAUUAUGAAUAGUCAGCACUGAUAACAACGUAUUACUAGUAGAUGAGCCACAGAAGUGCUGGAAAUAAUAAUCUCCGGACUGGUGAUGAUGAUGA